rnacentral:rRNA from 1 species
ACAGAGGUCCCAAGCGUUGUUCGGAUUUACUGGGCGUAAAGGGUGCGUAGGUGGUCGGGUAAGUCUCAUGUGAAAUCCCGCAGCUUAACUGCGGAACGGCAUGGGAUACUAUUCGGCUCGAGGAUUGGAGGGGGGACUGGAAUUCCCGGUGUAGCAGUGAAAUGCGUAGAUAUCGGGAGGAACACCUGUGGCGAAAGCGGCUCUCUGGACCACAACUGACGCUGAGGAGCGAAAGCCAGGGGAGCAAACGGGA